GACGAGAGAGAGACAGAGGGGAAGGUGCCGGUUGCACUGGGUGCAAGCCGGAGGGUUUACCCCAUUUUCUGUUAUGUUUGAAUACCUUUGUUGUAACUUUAAACAGUUAAUAAAGAACGUGCUUUUGGAUAAUUCCCUUGUUGCGUCUUGCUGAGAGCUGGGCUGCGACAUAUGGUGGAGAAUGCGGGCAAAGUGACCCAGCUGAAGGAAGAGAGAAGCACAGUGACCCAGCUGAAUGAAGAGAGGGGCAGAGUGACCCAGCUAAGUCGCCGAAGAGGGGGACUACGGGCAGAGUGACCCAAUCAAGUUGCCGAAGAGAGGGACUGUGGGCAGAGUGACCCAGCUUAAUUAAAGAUAUAAGCUAUGGAUCCAAGAUUAGAGGAAUUGAUGGCCGCCGUCAGGCAGUCGCAGGAAGAGCUGCGGGUAGCCGUUGCAGAACUCCGCAAACGAACAUCGACCAACCCAUCUGAUGAAGACCUAGAGGAGGUCGAGGAGAAGCUGACCCAGGGGGCCGAAGGACAGGAGGUAAAGGCUAUGCUUACUGCCAUGAAAGAGGACAUGCAGCUUGAAGCAGAGGUUUACCAGCCGCAUGGAGAGGUGGCUAAGACUGCCCAGGUCUGGGAGGCUCUACCGAAGAUGGCCAGGACCAAUGGGAUUGUGUUCCUGGGUGAGUUGGUUGAUGUCGAUGAUGAAGAGUAUGACGGUGGUGAUGAAGAUGAUGUCGAUGAUGACGAAGAGUAUGACGGUGAUGAUGAAGAUGCUGUUGACGAAGUUGCUGUUGAUGAAGAUGAUGAUGAUGAUGUCGUCAAUAAUUUCGAUGAUGGCUGUGAUGAAGAUGCUGCGGAUGAUGAUGAUAACGGAGUGGGUAAGGAAGAUGACUAUGGUGAGUCAAAGGAAGCUGGUAUGAGGAAGGCUAAGGUAGAGUCUGAAGUUGAUGACCAGAAUGAUUCAGAUGAGGAGAAAGAAAUGGACGCAACCCCUGCAGCGCCAGCAAAGGAAGCUGGAAUGGCUAAGGAAGAGUCUGGGGAAGACGAUGACGGUGAAGAGGUAGACGACGAAGGCGAUGAUGCUGCCGCCGACCUCAGUGAAGAGGGGGACCAGACAAGCGUGGCUGCCCCUGCCCAGAGGAAAAAGAUGUGCCUGUUUACCGGCUACCAGCACAAGGCGGUAGUAGCAAGCCCCACAGACAAGACUUACAA
rnacentral:lncRNA from 1 species